rnacentral:rRNA from 1 species
AUCAUGGCUCAGAUUGAACGCUGGCGGCAUGCCUUACACAUGCAAGUCGAACGGCAGCACGGGUGCUUGCUCCUGGUGGCGAGUGGCGAACGGGUGAGUAAUGCAUCGGAACGUGCCCUGAAGUGGGGGAUAACGUAGCGAAAGUUACGCUAAUACCGCAUAUUCUGUGAGCAGGAAAGCAGGGGGAUCUUCGGACCUUGCGCUUUUGGAGCGGCCGAUGUCGGAUUAGCUAGUUGGUGGGUAAAGGCCCACCAAGGCGACGAUCCGUAGCGGGUCUGAGAGGAUGAUCCGCCACACUGGAACUGAGACACGGUCCAGACUCCUACGGGAGGCAGCAGUGGGGAAUUUUGGACAAUGGGCGCAAGCCUGAUCCAGCCAUGCCGCGUGAGUGAAGAAGGCCUUCGGGUUGUAAAGCUCUUUCGGUGGGGAAGAAAUUGCUUGGGUUAAUACCCUGAGUAGAUGACGGUACCCGCAUAAGAAGCACCGACUAACUACGUG